UACGGAGGGUGCGAGCGUUGUCCGGAAUCACUGGGCGUAAAGGGCGCGUAGGCGGCCUGAUAAGUAGGGGGGUGAAAUCCUGCGGCUUAACCGCAGGGCUGCCUUCUAAACUGUCAGGCUAGAGCACAGUAGAGGCAGGUGGAAUUCCCGGUGUAGCGGUGGAAUGCGUAGAGAUCGGGAAGAACAUCAGUGGCGAAGGCGGCCUGCUGGGCUGUUGCUGACGCUGAGGCGCGACAGCGGUGGGGAGCAAACAGG
rnacentral:rRNA from 1 species